UACAGAGGCCCCAAGCGUUAGGCGGAAUCACUGGGCUUAAAGCGUGUGUAGGCGGGAUGGUAAGUACUUUGUGAAAUCCCACGGCUUAACUGUGGAACUGCUUAGUAUACUGCCGUUCUUGAGUCAUUUAGGGCAGCCGGAACAGAUGGUGGAGCGGUGAAAUGCGUAGAUAUCAUCUGGAACGCCAAUGGUGCAGACAGGC
rnacentral:rRNA from 1 species